rnacentral:rRNA from 1 species
CGGGUGAGUAAUGUCUGGGAAACUGCCUGAUGGAGGGGGGUAACUACUGGAAACGGUAGCUAAUACCGCAUAAUGUCGCAAGACCAAAGAGGGGGACCUUCGGGCCUCUUGCCAUCGGAUGUGCCCAGAUGGGAUUAGCUAGUAGGUGGGGUAACGGCUCACCUAGGCGACGAUCCCUAGCUGGUCUGAGAGGAUGACCAGCCACACUGGAACUGAGACACGGUCCAG